AUGGUGGGGAGCUACGCCAACGGAGCAGGUAAAAACGGCGCGGCGGAGGGGAAGCUGGACGAGCUGCGGCGGCGGCUGGGGAAGGCGGAGGGGGACCCGCUCCGGAUCGCCGGCGUGGGCGCGGGGGCCUGGGGGAGCGUCUUCUGCGCGCUGCUGCAGGACGCCUACGGCCGCGACCACCGCGACAAGACGCAGGUGCGCGUGUGGCGCCGCCCGGGCCGCGCCGUCGACCGCGCCACCGCCGAGCACCUCUUCGAGGUCAUCAACGCCCGCGAGGCCGUCCUCCGCAGGCUCAUCCGCCGCUGCGCCUACCUCAAGUACGUGGAGGCCCGCCUCGGCGACCGCACGCUCUACGCCGACGAGAUCCUCCGCGACGGCUUCUGCCUCAACAUGAUCGACACGCCGCUCUGCCCGCUCAAGGUCGUCACCAACCUGCAGGAGGCCGUCUGGGACGCCGACAUCGUCAUCAACGGCCUGCCCUCCACCGAGACCAGGGAGGUGUUCGGGGAGAUCGGGAGGUACUGGAAGGAGAGGAUCAACCCGCCCAUCAUAAUCUCGCUGGCCAAGGGGAUCGAGGCGUCGCUCGAUCCCAUGCCUCGGAUCAUUACCCCCACGCAGAUGAUCGCCAAUGCAACUGGAGUUCCAUUGGAGAAUAUUCUGUAUCUCGGAGGUCCUAACAUUGCAUCUGAAAUUUACAAUAAAGAGUAUGCAAACGCUCGCAUCUGUGGGUCUGAGAAGUGGAGGAAGCCUCUUUCUAAAUUUUUGCGGCAGCCUCAUUUCAUUGUAUGGGAUAAUAGUGAUCUCAUUACUCAUGAAGUCAUGGGUGGCUUAAAGAACAUAUAUGCCAUUGGUGCUGGUAUGGUGGCGGCACUGACCAAUGAGAGCGCGACAAGCAAAGCAGUGUACUUUUCACUUUGCACGUCUGAAAUGAUAUACAUCACCCACCUCCUAGCGGAAGAGCCCGAGAGACUUUCCGGACCACUAUUAGCAGAUACUUAUGUCACAUUGCUGAAAGGUCGUAAUGCAUGGUAUGGACAUAAAUUAGCCAAGGCAGAACUGACUCUGGAAAUGGGGGACAGCAUCAAAGGCAAAGGAACUAUACAGGGUGUCUCUGCAGUCAAUGCAUUUUAUGAACUCCUGAGUCAAGGCAGCAUAAGCGUGACGCACCCAGAAACCAAGAAGCACGUUGCUCCUGUCGAGCUGUGUCCGAUACUCAAAACACUUUACAAGAUUUUAAUCAAGAGGGAACUUGGUACCAGUUCCAUCCUUGAGGCGAUACGCGAUGAAUCAAUGUCCGAUCCACGGGAAAGAAUCGAGAUGGCACAGCGCCAAUCCCUCUACCGGCCGUCUCUCCUCGGCCUGCCUAAAGGCGAUAUCAAGCUGUAG
rnacentral:rRNA from 1 species